AUUCCUACGGGAGGCAGCAGUGGGGAAUCUUAGACAAUGGGGGCAACCCUGAUCUAGCCAUGCCGCGUGAGUGAUGAAGGCCUUAGGGUCGUAAAGCUCUUUCGCUGGGGAUGAUAAUGACAGUACCCAGUAAAGAAACCCCGGCUAACUCCGUGCCAGCAGCCGCGGUAAUACGGAGGGGGUUAGCGUUGUUCGGAAUUACUGGGCGUAAAGCGCACGUAGGCGGACUGGAAAGUUAGAGGUGAAAUCCCGGGGCUCAACCCCGGAACUGCCUUUAAAACUAUCAGUCUAGAGUUCGAGAGAGGUGAGUGGAAUUCCGAGUGUAGAGGUGAAAUUCGUAGAUAUUCGGAGGAACACCAGUGGCGAAGGCGGCUCACUGGCUCGAUACUGACGCUGAGGUGCGAAAGUGUGGGGAGCAAACAGGAUUAGAUACCCUGGUAGUCCACACCGUAAACGAUGAAUGCUAGUCGUCGGGUUGCUUGCAACUCGGUUACACACCUAACGUAUUAAGCAUUCCGCCUGGGGAGUACGGUCGCAAGAUUAAAACUCAAAGGAA
rnacentral:rRNA from 1 species